GGACUUAUUAAUAUAUGUUAAUUAGUCUUCCUGUCUAGUGUGAAAGCACAAUCAGAAGAUUAACUAGUAUACUUCAUGAAGACAAUUAUUUGUCAAAUAGAAUCAUAAACACAACAAAAUACACACAAAGAAUAAUCUUUAAUAAGAGAAUUUUACGUCACUCCUGGCCCAAAAACAUAUAUUAUGUGAAUAAGAUGUGAAGCAAACUGACACAUGCUUUUUGUAGAGCUGGUGGUCACCAACGAACGGAAACCAGGAUCUACUAUCUGUAAUUGCUGCCAAAGGGAA
rnacentral:lncRNA from 1 species